AUCCAUGAGAUCUUUAGAGGUAAUCCAAUCCUUUUGCUUAUUCAUGGGAUAAUAGAGGAGAUUGAUUCCAUCUUAAAGGAUAGAUUUUUUUUUUUUAAAUUCCUGCAAAAAAGUAAGAAUGAAAACUCAGAAUGGACAAAAGCUUAGAGAGAUUUAAUAUCUUGCCUUUCACUACAUCCCCGCUCAGGUCUCAAAAUAGUUUUAGCUCAUCUUGUGCC